CCCUUAGAUGCUCUGGGCCGCACGCGCGCUACACUGGUCGAUGCAACGAGUUUCUUUCCUUGGCCGACAGGCCUGGGCAAUCUUUGAACAUCGAUCGUGAUCGGGAUAGAUUCUUGUAAUUUUUGACCUUAAACGAGGAAUUCCUAGUAAACGCAAGUCAUCAGCUUGCAUUGAUUACGUCCCUGCCCUUUGUACACACCGCCCGUCGCACCUACCGAUUGAAUGGUCCGGUGAAAUCUCCGGACUGGCGUGAGUCGGAGCAAUCUGACAAACACCGGAAAGUUGAUUAAACCUUACCAUUUAGAGGAAGGUGAAGUCGUAACA
rnacentral:rRNA from 1 species